CUCACCCACUGUACUCCAACCUGGCAACAGAGUAAGAUCCUAUCUCCAAAAACAAUUUUUAAAAACCAAGUAGACGGGUGUCCUGGUGGCAUGAUAGGUCCUGGGUCCUCUUCUAGAUCUGUAACCUUGGACAGGUGACUUUUCCUCUGGACCUCAGUGUUCCCAUCUGAGUGAGAAAAGGCAGUGGGGAGGCAGAUCUUCGAGUCUAAGUGGUGUAGAAGCCACAUCUGAAAAGCCAUACUUGGGGCUCCAAGCCCAGCGUACAGUCCCAGCAGGGCCCGGCAGGGCGGCCAGGGCAGCACAGGCAUUAGGUUCCACCCUUCUUCCCUCUUUGCCCAUUCUCAGACCAAGGAAUUCAUCUCAGAGCUGCUGUCCAACCUGUACUCACAUGGGGACUGGAACACACUGAUAGAGGAGUCAGCAGAGCAGGCACAGUGGGGCGACAAGAUGCUGCACAUGCACCACAUGCUGACGGAGGUGCUCAGCAUCAUUGGCGACAUCAACACGACCACCGUCAACACGACCACUGUCAGCACGCCCAGGGGGGCCCGUGGAUGACUCCUGGCUGCAGGUGCAGAGCAUCCCGGCCAGAUGCAGGAAGGGCCCAGCCUCACCUAUGUGACCUGCAGUCCCCCAACAAGCUGAGGCUUCCCUCUUAGACUUACAAAUCUAUGGCCAGUGGCAUCUGGCUGCCUGCCCUUCUUGCCUACCCAACGGUCCUCUCAGAGGGUCCUGGGCUUUCUGAUGGCCCAGAGGGGCCUCCGGCGCUCAAUCCAACCAUCCAUCCCUUUUAGCGUCAUCAUUCUGGUUCAAGCAGUAUUCCUUCCCUAUCAGGCCUGGUGGCUGUUGCUUGGGGCUCCCCAAGGUGAGGGGUGGCCCUGGGCCAGUGUGUUGGAAGACAGGGUAACCAGAGAAAAGGGAAGCCUGAGGGGACUGAGCAUUGGUCUGAACUGUGGGUGCACUGCCUGGAUGCCGUGGGAGAGGCGUAUGUGGGGUGUGGAGGGCCGCUGCAGCCCCCAGGCACUACCUGUGAAGCUCCGGCUCUUCCUUCCAUCUUCCUUCCUUUUCCCUUCCAGCCCCUUUUCCAGGAACCUUACUACACACCCGCACCUGCGCCCUCCCCUCCCUGGCCCUCACACAGCUCUUGCAGUGUGCCCAUGCUCUGCGCUUGCCUCACCAGCAAUCUGCUUCUUUCUGCUUCUCUCGAACUGCCCGCUGAUCAGGUCAGGCAAGUCCAUCCUGUCCUGAGAGUCCCAGGCCCUGCUUCGACCUCUAAACAGAUCUCUCCUCUUCUCGGAGGCCUCCCUUUCCAAGCCUGCCUGUGCAGGUGUCCUGUGACUUGACAGUGGAUCCCCAGUCCCAAAGCCUUCAUCUGUGACUUAGUCUGUUGUAGUGCUGAGCUGACACUUCCAGGUGUGACCAUUGCUGAAAACUUGUGUCCCCUCUGUGGUAUGCCCCUGCCCUGUUCUAUAAAUAGCUAUAAAUACUCAUAUAUAUUUUUUUAUAUAUAUAUAUAUAUGCGCACACCUAUACAUGGCCGAUGGCCUCGCCUCUAGCACUGGGAAUAAGUCCCAGUGCUGUCCUUGUGGAGUCUUGUGGCCCAACAAGAGAAAGCUGUCCCCUGACAUCACCCCUCCAAAGUGCCACCUCCAGUGAGCCUGUCAUGUGGACAGCCAGCCCCCGCCAUCCCUCCCACCCUCCACCAAGCAUGGGGGUGCUGUGCAGGCAGCUGCGUGGACUGACAGUCUUCCAGUCCUGCUGUCCCUCGGCUGAGAAACCCAUUUCUGGAUGACGGGGAAUGUGUCCUCUGCUGGCUGUGUUCUCUGUGGAGCUCAGGGGAGGGGAAAGGCCAAGCCAUUUCUAGGGUGCUGUUGGGAGUGGUGAAAAGGCUACAGCCUUUCCAAGGGACACAUUUCCUGGAAAGUCCCUGGAGUUUAGCUGGCUCUUAUGCUGUGAAGCCGGCUCUGGCCACUAGGGGGCAGGGUCAUGAACUCAGCCUGGAGGGAGACUGAGGGGCAGCCUGCACUCUGUAAGGACAGACAGAACAGGCCACCCAGUGCAGACAGGAGAGGGAGGUAGGCGGACGGAAGGGAAGACACCUGGGGUAGAUGGAAGUCAGUGCCCUUGGGUGCUGGUAUCUGUCUUCCCGGCCACAGCUAGAUCAGGCUUCUGAGCCUGUUGGCUGUCAGGGCCGGACUGUGCCCCAUAGGUGCCAUGGCAGUCCCCAUCAAAUCCACCAGGCGUCACCAGGCAGCAUAGAGGUAACAGGCCUGGAAGAUCCCCAACAGCCCAGCUGGACAUGCUCAGACACUCUGGGGCUCCUCGUUCUGUGGGACAAACUGCAGGACCCAGUGAGGGAAACAGGAACACACCAGGCUGAGCUGUAUGGCUAAAUCCAUUUAUUCCACAAUGAAAAGC